rnacentral:rRNA from 1 species
UACGUAGGGUGCAAGCGUUUAAUCGGAAUUACUGGGCGUAAAGCGCGCGUAGGCGGCUUUGCAAGUCGGGUGUGAAAUCCCCAGGCUUAACCUGGGAACUGCAUUCGAGACUGCAUUGCUAGAGUAUGGGAGAGGGAAGUGGAAUUUCCGGUGUAGCGGUGAAAUGCGUAGAUAUCGGAAGGAACAUCAGUGGCGAAAGCGACUUCCUGGACCAAUACUGACGCUCAUGUGCGAAAGCGUGGGGAGCGAACAGG